rnacentral:lncRNA from 13 species
AGCCUGAAAUGUCCACAGGACAGGCAGCUGAUAGGAAAGCCAAAAGUGAUGUAGGAAAAGCAAGGACAAAGGCAGAAUCUCUGAGAAUGAAUUGGAGCCAACACUGGUCUCUCACCACCUCCAGUCCUCUGGCUUUGAUAAGGUGGGGGUGGCCUGCUGGAGAAACUGAUGUUCUUCAUCUCAGAGGUUUGAAGUAG